rnacentral:rRNA from 1 species
GACGAACGCUGGCGGCGUGCUUAACACAUGCAAGUCGAACGGAAAGGCCCUGCUUUUGUGGGGUGCUCGAGUGGCGAACGGGUGAGUAACACGUGAGUAACCUGCCCUUGACUUUGGGAUAACUUCAGGAAACUGGGGCUAAUACCGGAUAGGAGCUCCUGCUGCAUGGUGGGGGUUGGAAAGUUUCGGCGGUUGGGGAUGGACUCGCGGCUUAUCAGCUUGUUGGUGGGGUAGUGGCUUACCAAGGCUUUGACGGGUAGCCGGCCUGAGAGGGUGACCGGCCACAUUGGGACGGAGAUACGGCCCAGACUCCUACGGGAGGCAGCAGUGGGGAAUAUUGCACAAUGGGCGGAAGCAUGAUGCAGCAACGCCGCGUGCGGGAUGACGGCCUUCGGGUGGUAAACCGCUUUCGCCUGUGACGAAGCGUGAGUGACGGUAAUGGGUAAAGAAGCACCGGCUAACUACGU